rnacentral:rRNA from 1 species
UACGGAGGGUGCGAGCGUUAAUCGGAAUUACUGGGCGUAAAGAGUGCGUAGGUGGUUUAGUGUGUUAGAUGUGAAAUCCAUGGGCUUAACCUGUGAAUUGCAUUUAAAAACUGCUAGGCUAGAGUGUUGUAGAGGGUGGCGGAAUUUCCAGUGUAGCGGUGAAAUGCGUAGAUAUUGGAAGGAACACCAGUGGCGAAGGCGGCCACCUGGACAAACACUGACACUGAGGUACGAAAGCGUGGGUAGCGAACAGG